UUUAUAAAUGUGUGAAUACUGGCUUACGUUCCUAUAAAGUUAUUGAUAAAGAAUUGCUGAAUAUAAAUGAGCUUAAAAGCAGUUAGUGUGAUAAAAUAUUAGAACAGUUUGUAUGGGCAAACUGUGUGUUAUUUAAGCUCCUCUUACAUUUAAUCUUUUACCACAGGAAUAAUUAUAUAGAACAAUGCUACUAAAUAUUUUAAUACUGAUGUUCUAUGGAAUUUGGGUUAAUGAGGCUUGGUUCUUUGAGAGCUACACUAUAUAAACAAAAGUAUUGAGACACCUGAGCAUUGCACUAAUAUGACUUAUGACAUUGCAUUCUAAAUACAUAGACCUUAAUAGGUAGCCCCGAUGUGAGGCUUGUAUACAGCUGCUCGGCAAUUCCAUUAAGCUUUCACCUCAGUUUUUGUGCUGAUAACGCUAGUGGUAGUUUGGAACUUUUCAGCUAUGGAAACUGCAAAACAGUGACUUUUAUGCACCAUGCACCUCAGCACUCUGUGACCCUGCUUUGUGACUUUACGUCGACUUCUGCUUCAUGGCUGAGUUUCUGCUGUCCCUAAAUGCUUCCACUUUCCAAUAAUACCAUUUACCGUGCAAUACCUAGCAGGGAUGAAAUUUCACAAACUUAGAGGUGACAUCCGAUCACAGUACCACGCUUGUAGUCACUGAGCUUUUCAGAAUGAUCCAUCUAUUCACAAAAGAGCAGCCUACAUGGCUAGGCCAGUGGGUCUAAUUGAAACACCUGAAUUCAAUAAUAGGGGUGUUACAAUACUUUUGUCCAUGUAUACAUUAAUCCAAAGAUAUAUUGCUGUCUUUGCAAAUUAUUUUUACCAACAUUAAGUUUUUCGGCAAUUUGAGCUACAGUAGCGAUUCUAGGUGAUUAGACCAAACGGCUAGCCUUUGAAUACCAAAUGUAUAACUGAGCCUUGGUUGCAUAUAUCCUGAUGCCAGUAAACUGGUUGCCCUUCCUUGCACCACUUUUGGUCGAUACUACCGUAACCACUGCAUAACUGGAACACCCAUAAGACUCGCUGUCUUGGAGACACCAUCACUAUUUUGCCCUUGUCAAAGUCACUCCGAUCUUUUUGCUUGCUCAUUUAAGAGUGUGUGUGUUUUUUCUCCAUCCAUUAACAAUGUUCAGGUCAUAGUGGCUUUACAUAAUGUGCACCUGUCAAGGUGUAAACACACAAGUUGAGUUUAAAUUAAAACACAUAAAAUUCAUUCUUUACAGUGUCCUAGAAGAAAUGCUAG